rnacentral:rRNA from 1 species
UUGAACGCUGGCGGCAGGCCUAACACAUGCAAGUCGAGCGCGAAAGGUUUUCGGACUGAGUAAAGCGGCGGACGGGUGAGUAACGCGUGGGAAUCUGCCCAGUAGUGGGGGACAACAGCCGGAAACGGCUGCUAAUACCGCAUACGCCCUACGGGGGAAAGGGGGGGAUCUUCGGACCUCUCGCUACUGGAUGAGCCCGCGUCGGAUUAGCUAGUUGGUAGGGUAAAGGCCUACCAAGGCUACGAUCCGUAACUGGUCUGAGAGGAUGAUCAGUCACACGGGAACUGAGACACGGUCCAGACUCCUACGGGAGGCAGCAGUGGGGAAUAUUGGACAAUGGGGGCAACCCUGAUCCAGCCAUGCCGCGUGUGUGAAGAAGGCCUUAGGGUUGUAAGGCACUUUCAGUGGGGAGAAAGGUUUGUCACCUAAUACGUGAUGAAAUUGAUGUUACCCACAGAAGAAGCACCGGCUAACUCCGUGCCAGCAGCCGCCGUAA